GAAGAAAGCAGCGCGUUUAUGUAACAGUGAGCGACCGCCUUCAGCUCCGGUUAACGUCGCCACCACCCCCUCCACACACACACACACCACACACACACACACCAUGCACACACACACACACACCACGCACCACACACACACACACCACACACACACACACCACGCACACACACACACACACCACACACACACACACCACUCACACACACACCACACCACGCACACACACACACACACCACUCACACACACACCACUCACACACACACACACCACACACACACACACACCACACACCACACACACACCACACACACACACACCACUCACUCACACACACACCACUCACUCACACACACACCACUCACACACACACACACACACACCACUCACUCACACACACACCACUCACACACACACACACACCACUCACACACCACACACACCACUCCCACACACACCACUCACCACACACCACACCACUACAACACACACACACCACACCCACACACACACACCACUCACUCACACACCACCACUCACUCACACACACACCACUCACUCACACACACACACCACUCACACACACACACCACACACCACCACUCACACCACUCACACACACACUCACUCACACACACAACACACACACACCACACUCACACACCACACACCACACACCACUCACACCACACACCACUCACACACACACCCACUCACACACACCACACACACACACACCACUCACACCACACCCACACCACACUCACACACACACACCAUUCACCACUCACACUCACACCCACCACACACACCACCACUCACACCACCACCACACACCCACCACUCACCACACACACACACACCACCACACACACACACACCACGCACACACACACCACACCACACACACACACACACACACACCAUGCACACCACACGCACACACACGCACGCACACACACACACACACACACCAUGCACACCACGCACACACACGCACGCACGCACACACACACACACACACACACCAUGCACACCACGCACACACACACACGCACCAUGCACACCACGCACCACGCACACACACACACACCACACACACACACACACACACCCACGCACACACACCACGCACACACACACACCACGCACACACCACACACACGCACACCACACACGCACACACACACAGAUAACUAAGAACAGCACGACAGCAAGGGAGUAAAGAGAGGUUGUGCUGACCUCACACACAGCCACGUGACGAAAGUGCAUAUAUGUAUGU
rnacentral:lncRNA from 1 species